UUUGACCCUAAAGAUGCUGCAGGUGUGGCUGCUUUGUCCUGUGUGUGUCAGUAGGUGGAAGAGAAGAGAGAAGCUAUGCCUACACUUAGCAUGCUGAUCCAUGGACACCUGAUUAGUAGCCUGACAUU